rnacentral:lncRNA from 1 species
CUCUUUAUAUAGCAUAUGUCCGCCUCUAAUCAUGUACCAAGUCCGAACCCAAAAGUCAGUCUCUUUGAGUUCGAACCAACUAAUAGGUGAUCAUCUACGUUGUGUUUAUGCUAACAUAAAUAUGUUAAACAGGAAGGUUAUAUGGUUCUCCCUAGCAAAUCAGCAGAACCAGUUCCCCUCGAUCGCUUAAAGAGCAGAUUGAUCUUCCAUGAUGGUCGCUUGGUUCAGCGCCCAAAUCCAUUCAAUGCCUUAAUCACCUAUAUGUGGCUGCCAUUCGGAUUUGCUCUCGCUAUAUUCCGUGUAUACUUCAAUCUCCCUCUCCCAGAGCGCAUUGUUCGUUAUACAUAUGCAUUGGUUGGGAUCAAGCUUGAGAUCAAAGGCCCUCGUUUGGUUCAGCGGCCAAAUCCAUUCAAUGCCUUAAUCACCUAUAUGUGGCUGCCAUUCGGGUUUGCUCUCGCUAUAUUCCGUGUAUAUUUCAAUCUCCCUCUCCCAGAGCGCAUUGUUCGUUAUACAUAUGCAUUGGUUGGGAUCAAGCUUGAGAUCGAAGGCCCUCGACCACCUCCAC